rnacentral:rRNA from 1 species
UACGUAGGGGGCUAGCGUUGCUCGGAAUCACUGGGCGUAAAGCGUACGCAGGCUGUUCGUUAAGUCGGGUGUGAAAUCCCGGGGCUCAACCCCGGAAUUGCGCCCGAAACUGACGAGCUUGAGUGCGGGAGAGGGAAGCGGAAUUCCUGGUGUAGAGGUGAAAUUCGUAGAUAUCAGGAGGAACACCGGUGGCGAAAGCGGCUUCCUGGCCCGACACUGACGCUCAGGUACGAAAGCGUGGGGAGCAAACAGG